rnacentral:lncRNA from 1 species
UCUUUAUAUAAUUAAAAGUGGAGAUGUGGUGUUUAUAUAUAGUCCAGUUCCUUCGCAAUUGUACAGGAGGUUAUAGUAAGAAGAAACAGUAAAUUCGUAGAAGGGGGGCUAAGCUGCUAUUUUCUUCCUGAAGUUGUGACACAAGCUGACAAAAGCCAGGGAAUUCACAGCUGGGUGGUGGCACAAAGUACCAUAUGUUCUAAAAACAAUUAGGCCCAGCAGGGUGUCCCUAAUGGCUUCCUUGUUAAGCCUCUGGGGCCAGCUGAUCUGAAGCCUUGUGACAUGUCUCUCUGAGCUCUGAAUGCUUGGGCUUUUUUGUCACUUUGUCCUGAUACAAGUGUUUUCCUGUGGUCUUCAUUCUCUUGAGUUCAUUCAGUCUCCUGAAAUAUCUUCUGAUUCUUUCUGGAGAGAACAAUGUCUGUUCACAAAUCUGUACUCAUUCGCCUUGAAUUUUAGCAUCCAUGGACCUUUUUACGACUGUCCUUGCCUCUUUAUCACACUUUGUUUCUAAAAAAUGCUUUGCUGCCUGUUAAGAUGGGUUUAUUAUCUCGUUUCAGGCCUCUAAGGACAGAGAGUGAAGGGACAUUUCUA